AGGUGUGCUAACAUUUGGUUUAGUAUACACUGUUUAUGCCGCAGGGGACCCCAGGCGCAGCCUGCAGGGAGUCACCGGACCCUUGGCAAUAGGACUGAUGGCAGGAGCCAAUGUGUUGGCUGCAGGACCCUUCUCAGGUGGUUCAAUGAACCCUGCAUGUGCAUUUGGUUCUGCAGUCAUUGCUGGACGGUUCAAGAAUCAAGCAGUCUACUGGGUUGGACCCUUGAUUGGAGGCACAUUUGCAGGGCUUCUAUAUGAUAAUGCUGUCUUCCCUAAUCAAGUUCCUGAUUCUAUUAGGGGAAUUUCAGACGGUGUUGGAGCGUAAUUGCAAUUUCGUGCAAAUGUUCCUCUUUAAGUUUUCUCGUUAUGUAUUUUUUU
rnacentral:misc_RNA from 1 species